GGGGGAAGUUUUCCGCAAUGGGCGAAAGCCUGACGGAGCAAUGCCGCGUGGAGGUGGAAGGCCUACGGGUCGUCAACUUCUUUUCUCGGAGAAGAAACAAUGACGGUAUCUGAGGAAUAAGCAUCGGCUAACUCUGUGCCAG
rnacentral:rRNA from 1 species